AUGCUUUACUGCAUCAGUCCCUUCUAUAUUCAGGGGGACAACAGCACAGCUUAUUUUCGUAGAGUAUCUAAUGGGAGGAAAAGGAAAAAUCUGAUCCAUUCAUUCAAUGGGGAUGAUGGGGUUAUAGAAGGGACUGAUGCUUUACUGCAACAUGCUACUUCUUAUUAUAAAACCCUUUUUGGACAUGCUCCUAGUAAUCUUUUUCCUAUCUCCUCUAAUCUUUGGAAUUUGGAAAAAUUAACAACAACAGCAACAACAACAACAACAAAGCCUUUUGGUAGGAGACUGGUAGAUGAUUUGCUCAUUCAAUGGAAUGAGAUUGUUGCAGAAGUGUAG
rnacentral:rRNA from 1 species